UACGUAGGGUGCAAGCGUUGUCCGGAAUUAUUGGGCGUAAAGAGCUUGUAGGCGGUUUGUCGCGUCUGCUGUGAAAUUUCGGGGCUCAACCCCGAGCCUGCAUUCGAUACGGGCAGACUAGAGUUCGGUAGGGGAGACUGGAAUUCCUGGUGUAGCGGUGAAAUGCGCAGAUAUCAGGAGGAACACCGGUGGCGAAGGCGGGUCUCUGGGCCGAUACUGACGCUGAGGAGCGAAAGCGUGGGGAGCAAACAGG
rnacentral:rRNA from 1 species